rnacentral:pre_miRNA from 1 species
CCGAGACGGGCGGAUCACGAGGUCAGGAGAUCGAGACCAUCCUGGCUAAUACAGUGAAACCACCAGGAUGGUCUCGAUCUCCUGACCUCGUGAUCCGCCCGUCUCGG